CUCCUCCCUCCUCCCUCUGCCCCCUCCUUCUCCCCCUCUCCCCUCCUCUUCCUCCUCCUCCAGCUGGCCACUAAUGACACCAAAGGGUUAACACAUCACUUUCCCAUCCUCUAGCAGACCUUCCGGAUCUUUGCAACCCAGAUCCGGUAACCUCAAUACAGAGCUAAGCCUGUUCUUCUUUCCAAGCUGAACUGAGAGAGAAUGAGCAAUGCAGAACGUCUCGCAAACUUUGUUCAAGCCAAGUUCCACCAUCCGGGUUUGCAUGCUACCAGGGGUGAAAUCUACUUACCUUCCGUACCCCUUGCAUGCACAUCACAUGUGCACACACACCUUCUGUGCAUGUGCAGAAGGUAAAAAAUCAUUACUUCCUGGUUAAAAGUGGCGCAGCAGACUAAUGCUACUGUUAAAGGUAGUAUUUAGCUUCCAGCUGCCUGCAAUUACUGCGAGUUCAAUUCUCACCAGGCUCAAGGUCAACUCAGCCUUCCAUCCUUUCUAAGCUUCAACCACAACAAUACACGAGCAAAUAAUAGAUACAAACUCAAGGUAAACCGCUCCAAACUCGAUUGCAGAAAAUAUGACUUCAGCAACAGAGUGGACAAUGCCUGGAAUGCACUCCCUGAUUCUGUGGUUUCUUCCCCAAACCCCCAAAACUUUAACUGUCUACUGUUGACCUCACCCCAUUCCUAAGAGGUCUGUAAGGGGCGUGCAUAAGUGCACCAGCGUCACUACCGUCCCUGUCCUAAUAUUCCUUUUUACUCUUACUCUUUUCAUGUAUUCAAAUUAUGUUUGUACU